CAGCAGCCGCGGUAAUACGGAGGGUGCAAGCGUUAAUCGGAAUUACUGGGCGUAAAGCGCACGCAGGCGGUCUGUUAAGUCAGAUGUGAAAUCCCCGGGCUCAACCCGGGAACUGCAUUUGAAACUGGCAGGCUUGAGUCUUGUAGAGGGGGGUAGAAUUCCAGGUGUAGCGGUGAAAUGCGUAGAGAUCUGGAGGAAUACCGGUGGCGAAGGCGGCCCCCUGGACAAAGACUGACGCUCAGGUGCGAAAGCGUGGGGAGCAAACAGGAUUAGAUACCCCAGUAGUCCCUGUCUCUUAUAC
rnacentral:rRNA from 1 species